AUUGAACGCUGGCGGCAGGCCUAACACAUGCAAGUCGAACGAGUGGCGGACGGGUGAGUAAUGUCUGUGAAACUGCCUGAUGGAGGGGGAUAACUACUGGAAACGGUAGCUAAUACCGCAUACCCUCGGAUGUGCCCAGAUGGGAUUAGCUAGUAGGUGGGGUAAAGGAUCACCGAGGCGACGAUCCAUGGCUGGUCUGAGAGGAUGACCAGCCACACGGGAACUGAGACACGGUCCAGACUCCGACGUGAGGCAGGAGUGGGGAAUGUUGCACAAUGGGCGCAAGCCUGAUGCAGCCAUGCCGCGUGUAUGAAGAAGGCCUUCGGGUUGUAAAGUACUUUCAGCGGGGAGGCGUUACCCGCAGAAGAAGCACCGGCUAACUCCGUGCCAGCAGCCGCGGUAAUAC
rnacentral:rRNA from 1 species